GCCGCGUUGGCGCACUGGGAGCGCAUCUCACUUGUAUGCCAUCGGUAGAAGGGAUUAAUUAAUCAGGUAGUGAGAAGGAUACCUGUUCAACUUGAAUUCGGGUACGUGGCA